rnacentral:rRNA from 1 species
AACACGUGGGCAACCUGCCCUGCAGACUGGGAUAACUCCGGGAAACCGGAGCUAAUACCGGGUAAUACGUAGCAUCGCAUGAUGCAACGUUGAAAGUUGGCCUUUGGCUAACACUGUAGGAUGGGCCCGCGGCGCAUUAGCUAGUUGGUAAGGUAACGGCUUACCAAGGCCACGAUGCGUAGCCGACCUGAGAGGGUGAUCGGCCACACUGGGACUGAAACACGGCCCAGACUCCUACGGGAGGCAUCAGUAGGGAAUCUUCCGCAAUGGACGAAAGUCUGACGGAGCAACGCCGCGUGAGUGACGAAGGCCUUCGGGUCGUAAAGCUCUGUUGUUAGGGAAGAACAAGUACCGUUCGAAUAGGGCGGUACCUUGACGGUACCUAACCAGAAAGCCACGGCUAACUACGUGCCAUCAGCCGCGGUAAUACGUAGGUGGCAAGCGUUGUCCGGAAUUAUUGGGCGUAAAGCGCGCGCAGGCGGUCUCUUAAGUCUGAUGUGAAAGCCCACGGCUCAACCGUGGAGGGCCAUUGGAAACUGGGGGACUUGAGUGCAGAAGAGGAGAGUGGAAUUCC